GAGUUUGAUCGUGGCUCAGAUUGAACGCUGGCGGCAUGCCUUACACAUGCAAGUCGAACGGCAGCACGGGAGCUUGCUCCUGGUGGCGAGUGGCGAACGGGUGAGUAAUGCAUCGGAACGUAUCCUGGAGUGGGGGAUAACGUAGCGAAAGUUACGCUAAUACCGCAUAUUCUGUGAGCAGGAAAGCGGGGGACCUUCGGGCCUCGCGCUCUUGGAGCGGCCGAUGUCGGAUUAGCUAGUUGGUGAGGUAAAGGCUCACCAAGGCGACGAUCCGUAGCAGGUCUGAGAGGAUGAUCUGCCACACUGGAACUGAGACACGGUCCAGACUCCUACGGGAGGCAGCAGUGGGAAUUUGGACAAUGGGGCAACCCUGAUCCAGCCAUGCCGCGUGAGUGAAGAAGGCCUUCGG
rnacentral:rRNA from 1 species